UGAGGGAAUCUUCCACAAUGGACGCAAGUCUGAUGGAGCAACGCCGCGUGAGUGAAGAAGGCUUUCGGGUCGUAAAAACUCUGUUAUUGAAGAAGAACGUGUGUGACAGUAACUGGUCAUGCAGUGACGGUAUUCAAUCAGAAAGUCACGGCUAACUACGUGCCAGCAGCCGCGGUAAUACGUAGGUGGCAAGCGUUGUCCGGAUUUAUUGGGCGUAAAGCGAGUGCAGGCGGUCUUUUAAGUCUGAUGUGAAAAGCCUUCGGCUUAACCGAAGA
rnacentral:rRNA from 1 species